AGAGUUUGAUCAUGGCUCAGGACGAACGCUGGCGGCGCGCCUAACACAUGCAAGUCGAACGAGGAAAUUGUUUUCGGAUGAUUUCCUAGUGGCGGACGGGUGAGUAACGCGUGAGUAACCUGCCUUUCAGAGGGGGAUAACGUCUGGAAACGGACGCUAAUACCGCAUAACAUAUUGAGGUCGCAUGAUUUUGAUAUCAAAGGAGCAAUCCGCUGAAAGAUGGACUCGCGUCCAAUUAGCUAGAUGGUGAGGUAACGGCCCACCAUGGCGACGAUUGGUAGCCGGACUGAGAGGUUGAACGGCCACAUUGGGACUGAGACACGGCCCAG
rnacentral:rRNA from 1 species